AUUGAACGCUGGCGCCAUGCCUUACACAUGCAAGUCGAACGGCAGCACGGGUGCUUGCACCUGGUGGCGAGUGGCGAACGGGUGAGUAAUACAUCGGAACAUGUCCUGUAGUGGGGGAUAGCCCGGCGAAAGCCGGAUUAAUACCGCAUACGAUCUACGGAUGAAAGCGGGGGACCUUCGGGCCUCGCGCUGUUGGGUUGGCCGAUGGCUGAUUAGCUAGUUGGUGGGGUAAAGGCCUACCAAGGCGACGAUCAGUAGCUGGUCUGAGAGGACGACCAGCCACACUGGGACUGAGACACGGCCCAGACUCCUACGGGAGGCAGCAGUGGGGAAUUUUGGACAAUGGGCGAAAGCCUGAUCCAGCAAUGCCGCGUGUGUGAAGAAGGCCUUCGGGUUGUAAAGCACUUUUGUCCGGAAAGAAAUCCUUGGCCCUAAUACGGUCGGGGGAUGACGGUACCGGAAGAAUAAGCACCGGCUAACUACGUG
rnacentral:rRNA from 1 species